UCCAAGAUGCAGUGUGUAUUUUAUAUGCAUAGCACUUCUCAAUUCAGAUAAGCCACAUUUCAAGCACUUAAUAACUACAUGUGACAAGUGGCUCUCCUACUUUAUAACGCAGACCUAUAUAAGAAAUGAUGGCACAGUGUGAAAGCAGAUUGUUUUGCUGCUAUUUAAAUAAACUUUGGGGUUUGGCAGGAGGCUUUGUUUCUUCUCCUGUGGUUGGCUGAUCUCUCCACCUGGUCCAUUAGGUAUCUGUCAGGUGAAAUCAGGUCUUACCCAGGUGGAACUGAAGGUUUGAAUGGGGGAGAUGGAAGCUUGGUGAACAUGCCCACAAGGACAUAGGGCAUCCUGUCAGGCAAGAAGGGGCCAGGUCCAGGAUGCUAGGGGGAGCCUGCCUUGUACUGGGGUGAACUCAGCUGCAGGGCAGGAACGGGGCAGUUCCUGAGCCAUGCAGCUCUCUGCUGAGACAGCAGCCACAGUGGCCUGAGCUCCUCCAACAUGCCCACUGGGAACAGGUAGUGUGACAGAAUAGAGGCAGCAACACUUGUUUGGAGAGGCGCUGAGCUGGCCACUUAUGUAAGCCUGGAACAAAACCUUAUUUAUAGAUAUGUCCAACAGCAUAAGCAACAGCAACUCAGCUCUGGAGACUAUAUCUUGCCAACAGGAAGUCCAAAUGAGGGGAAAAAAACAGAGGUAAGGAUUGAUUCUGGAAAGAGAAGCAGUUACCAAGGUCAGGGCAAGCUAGGAUGGAUGCAUGUUGACUGUGAACUACAAGAACAGACUGAGAGUAACUGAUGACCCAGUAACCAGUAAUAGGUCAGAAACCAGGCCGAAUGUGGAAGGCUGGGCAUGCGGGUCCGAAGGCUGGGAAGGACUCGGGCCUGUGGCUGCAGACAGUGAAGCCUGGAACAUUCAAAAACAACUGCGUAUACAGGAAAAUUAGAAAGUAACCAACCACACAUGCCCCAGAAAAGUUUCAGAAAAUAGCUGACAGUCUUUUCAACAAACAGUGCUGGGAAAAUGGGAUAUCCGCGUGCGAAGGAAUGAAGCUGGACCCUUACCUACCAUGGAUGAACACUGAGGACAACACGUCAUGUGAAAUGGACCAGUCAGAAAAGGACAGAUCCUGAAUGAUUCCAUGUACAUGAGGCACUCGAGGAUUUCUGGAGGUGACUAAGGGUGGCGGCAUGGCUCCCUGGUGAGGGAGACCAAACAGAGCUGCUGAAACUGAACUUCCAAUUCCAUGGUUUUUGACCCUAGAAUUCUGCCCCUGUGCUGACCAGGCAUGAUGUACAGAUGCAAAACUGUGUACUGAAGAGAGAAGAGGAAACCUGAAUUCUGCCAUUCCUGACUGUGACACUUUAGACAAAACCUUGACUUUCCUGGGAUAAGUCCUCUUGUCAAUAAAAUGUGGAGAGUGACAACAUUCUCAUCAAUAAAAUAUAGGGAAA